rnacentral:tRNA from 1 species
GGAGAGGUACCGAAGUGGUCGUAACGGGGUCGACUCGAAAUCGAUUUGAGGGCUAAUCCCCUUCACGUGGGUUCGAAUCCCACCCUCUCCG